CCCCGGUAGCUCAGUUGGUAGAGCAGCCGCCUCGUAAGCGGAAGGUCGAGGGUUCAAAUCCCUCCCGGGGCU
rnacentral:tRNA from 1 species